GACACUUUGCUGAGGCUGAGGAGCCCCCUCUUCCGGAGAAUCACUGAUCUCUCAAAAUUUGGUCAAGUUCUACAGUUUACUUUGCUGUAUAACUCCUUUUCUGGAGUUUUGCUGGCUUUCAACAAGGAAGGCAUGUUUUCCUGCUUCCAUGACGAUGGAAGGCAGGCAGCUCCUGUCUGGACGUUCCGCUCACUUCCAACAGGGAAGCCAAGUCUGAGCAUUCUUUGUUUCUAGGAUGGCAAGCACAGCCUUCAGCCUGGGCCCCACUCCUAGGACACAGUUGAAGACACUGGUUAUUUUAUCAAGCCCUUGACUGGAAUUGCAUACUUUCAGAUAUAAGCAAACUGCUUUAAGGAAUCAAAGUUAUCUUAGAAAGCCAAUAAAAGCCUGUUGGGAAAGCUGACCCCAUACCUUGUCUACUCAGCUCCUAGAUAGGUUCCUGACCUGUGGUGAGCAUCUUUUCCAUAUUCAUGACCUACCACUGAUAUUCUGUGGAACUGAACUAAAACCAGGGUCGCCAAAGCCCUGCUGGGGGUGUGGAGGAAGGUGAGAGAGAGCGGAGGGGAUGGACACAGUAUUCCUGUCACCGUGCAGCUGCAGCUCUGCUCUGAGGCACAUUUGUCCUCUGGAUUCCGCAGAACUUCUCCCCAGGUCAUCCUUCAGCAGCAGCCCCUCCACCUGGAGCGUUACUGGUGGACAGUGUGGCCUCAGGCACUGUCUCUGCUCUCAUCUGCUCUGGCCAGGGCAGCAGGAUUGGUUUCAUUCAAAAGAUAACUGAUUUUCUUGGUGGGGGCAAUAGUGAGCAGGGCAGAGGAGAGGCACUUACGGGUCCUAUUGGCUUUCUUCCUGCCUGAGGCUAGUCCUCCUUGAGCCAAUCUGUCUCUUCUAGAACAUUCAGUUCCUCUGUACUUUCCAUUUCUGGCUCCUACCCUGUAGUCAUAAGUAUGCCAGACGCUUAAAACAAACACUUUGCCACAAUCUUUAAUCUCUCCUACCAUCAAGUACCACCCAAAUUAGGGUUAGCUGAGCCUGGUGUCUCAUGCCUGUAAAUCCCAGCACUUUGGGAGGCUGAGGCAGGAGCAUCACCUGAGCCCAGGAGUUCCAGACCAUCCAGGGCAGCAAAGUGAGAACCUGCCUCUAAAAAACUAAAAAUAAAAUAACUUAAAAAAAUUUAGCCAAGCAUGGUGGCAUACACCUUGUAGUCCCAGCUAUUUAGGAGGCUGGAGGAUUGCUUGCGCCUGGGAGGUCAAGGCUAUUUUGAGAUAGGGUCUCACUCUGUUUCCCAGGCAAGAGUGAGACCCUAUCUCAAAAAAGAGAUAUUAAGGUCAUAUUUGCUGUUUACUUCUCUAUCUUUUGUUCAUUCUUUUUUUGGUGACAGCUUAAUUGAGAUAGAAUCCAACAUAUCAUACAAUUUACCCAUUGAAGUGUGUAAUUCAAUAGGCUUUUUUUUUUGAGAUGGAAUCUUGCUCUGUUGCUCAGGCUGGAGUGCAGUGGCAUGAUGUCAGCUCACUGCAACCUCUGCCUCCCAGGUUCAAGAGAUUCUCUGCCUCCGCCUCCUGAGUAGCUGGGACUACAGGCACCUGCCAUCAUCUCAGGCUAAUUUUUUUGUAUUUUUAGUAGAGGUGGGGUUUCACCACAUUUGCCAGGCUGUUCUCGAACUCCUGACCUCGUGAUCUGCCUGCCUUGGCCUCCCAAAGUUCUGAGAUUACAGGCAUAGCCACCACACUCGGCCAAUUCAAUAGUUUUUAAUAUAUUCACAGAUUGCCAUCAUGCCCAAAGGAAACCCUGUGCCCAUUAGGAGUCACUCUCAUUCCCUCCUCUGUCCAUCUGUAGGCAACCACUAACCUACUUUUUGUAUAUUCUGUACCAUUCGUAUAAAUGGAAGCAUACAUUAAAUACAUGGUCCUUUGCAUCUGGCUUCUUUCACUUUGCAGAAUGUUUUCAAGAUUCAUCCGCGUUGUUGAAAGAGCUUUUUAUCAUUCUUCUUUUACAAUGUCCACAUGCAAGUUAUAAUACAUGUGUAGGGAUUCAAUUAUCUGGGCCAUUUGCAAAUAAGUUAGCUUAUGCACAUGUAAUACAAGCAAAAUUAAGUGCAGCUAACGAGUAUUAAUAGAGAGAUGUAGCAAGCCGUAGGAAAGGAAAUUCAGCAGUUGAAGAGGUUUUGUGGCCUGAAAGUCUAUAUAGAAUUGUUUGAUCAAAAAGGCCCCAAGAUAUCCUCAAGUACAUCACUGAGUCUACACAGUGACCAUCGAUGCCACCACCUGGUGUGGAAGGGCCUGGUGAUAGUUCACUCACUAAUCAGAUCCGUUUGGACACAUUCAAGUCAGCAGAAGCACCUUCAACUCUAACAGAACACCUGGGGCACCCCUGGACACCGCUGACCUCUCUAGCUUUGAGGACGACCCACGUGGAGAUUGUAGUGUAGCCACAUUCUCCACGUGAAACCCAGUAAAAACUCCGUACCGCACAUUUACGAAGAAGGCUCGUUGAUAGAUUCUAUUGGUCUUCACUCUUUUAAGGAUUGACUUUCCUUUUUGUCUUUGAAAAUGAUCCAUCCUUGUUAUGAAAAUAUUCAAAUGAUAUAGAAAAGCAUAGAUAAGAGAAGAAAAAUCACCCCAAAUUUCACCACCACCCAAAAAGCUAGUAUCACCUUUGGUAAGCAUCCUUCCACUCGUCAGCGGUGGCCGAGCACACAGAUGGAAGGACAGCUGGAUGGUGGCUAGAAACCCAAACAACAGAUCAUACUAUAUGUGCUGUUUCUUUUUUUUUUUUUUUGAGACGGAGUUUCGCUCUUGUUACCCAGGCUGGAGUGCAAUGGUGUGAUCUCAGCUCACCGCAACCUCCGCCUCCUGGGUUCAGGCAAUUCUCCUGCCUCAGCCUCCCGAGUAGCUGGGACUACAGGCACGCGCCACCAUGCCCAGCUAAUUUUUUGUAUCUUUAGUAGAGGCGGGGUUUCACCAUGUUGACCAGGAUGGUCUCGAUCUCAUGACCUCGUGAUCCACCCGCCUUGGCCUCCCAAAGUGCUGGGAUUACAGGCUUGAGCCACCGUGCCCGGCCUAUAUGUGCUGUUUCUUCAUGUUAAAUACUAAUUUUUGUUUCAAGAAAAAGAAAACAAAUGUAAUGGACUGGACUGCUAACAUUAUGUAAAUAUUUCUUCAGAUUUGUUCCCAAAAGUUCCCUCUAAUGUUACAUAAUUACAAUAACCACAAAGAGGUCAAGACUCUAUAUUCUUUUAGCCACAGUUUCAAAUUUUAGACAAUCUGGACCAACUCUGCUGGACGAAACCUGGUGAGAAGCACUCUUCCAUCUCUUCCCGCCUCCCUUCUGCCGCCUCCUCAUUUUUUCCCUUACCUACUGCAAAUGUAAUUCUUCCAGGGUCGGUUUGUUUGCUUUUAUUUAAUGAUUUCUUUGGGUUGAUGCACUGGAGAUUUACGUUCACCACCUGGCCUUUAGCCAUGCCUUCUGUCCUUGUCACUGAAAUUAUAUGUUCACCUCUGAUCAGAUUAUUAAUUUGGGAGGAAAAUGUUUAUUCUAAAAUAACAAACAAUUAGAGAUGUACUUCUAAUCUCGUACAAGUAGGUUAGCAUAACAAAUUCUCUUGAGUCAUUUCUUUACAAUUUUAAGCUAUCAUCUAAAAUUAUUGUUUUGAAGAGUCUAUUUAUUAAAAAUGAUUCACUGGUAACACAAAGAGCUACAUAAAACAUAUUUCUAGGAUUUCUCUCCUAAGAUUCAAGUGUUUACUGAGCCUGACCAUUGGAGGUCUUGCAGACUGUCAGAUUCCAGCAGGUGCAAAUAGAGCCACUUUUUUCCUGCCACCCCUGAGUCUCACAGGCAAACUUGGCUCUGGCUCUGCUCCUGUGCUCUGCAGACUCGAGGCCCACAGCCAUCCAAGAAGAACCUAAGAUAUAUCCUAGAUUCCUCUCUGUCUUACUCCCUGGUCACAUCCAUUCAUCACGUAAGUAGAGACUUAUGGCCUGCAAAGCCCAAAUUAUCUGCUAUCUGGUUUGUACAGAAACAUUUGCUGGCCCUUGAAAUGGACUAUGCUUUCCAGUCUUCAUAAAUACACUUGAGUUCUGGGAGUCUCUGAUUUGAGAAGGUCAUUACUAAAGAAUUUUCAGCCCGGCACGGUUCCCUUGCAUGACCAUGGCAUGACCAAUUUUGCAACUGUCAUUUCCAUAGUAUCUUUUUCCCUAUCAGUGUCACCAACAGCGACAGGAAUAAACAUGCAUGGGUGAGCCAAUUCAAAUAAAAGUUUUGAGGUACCUACGAAGCAGGUCUGGGAACCAUAGACCUUGUUGCUGUCGCCUUGUAACUCACUCUUUCACGUGAACCUGCUAAGCAAUCAUGAUUCUCCUAAGGGGUUGAAUGAGGAGACCAGCAUCCUCUGGUGUGACUGGACGAUGCUGUUGAUAGUAGGUCACUACCAGUUAUCAACUGCCAGGCAUUCUUCCAAGUGCUUCCUGGUGUUUGGCGACUCACAGUAGAAAUGAGCUAUGUUCAGAGUUUCUUUUUUCUUUUUUCUUUUUUGAGACAGAGUUUCGCUCUCAUUACCCAGGCUGGAGUGCAAUGGUGCGAUCUCGGCUCACCGCAACCUCCACCUCCUGGGUUCAGGCAAUUCUCCUGCCUCAGCCUCCUGAGUAGCUGGGAUUACAGGCAUGCGCCACCAUGCCCAGCUAAUUUUUGUAUUUUUAGUAGAGAUGGGGUUUCACCAUGUUGACCAGGAUGGUCUCGAUUUCUUGACCUCGUGAUCCACCCACCUCGGCCUCCCAAAGUGCUGGGAUUACAGGUGUAAGCCACCGCACCCGGCCUCAGAGUUUCUUACUUACAAUGUGAUCAUUGUGUCUGUCUCUGAAUUCCAUCGUGGUGUCUCUGAUUUUUAUCUUGGGCCUUAUUUCUGGUGCUCAGAGUUCUUGCAAACACCCGAAACUGAAAAGUGGCUUUGCAUUUAUGUUUUUGUUACUGUUGAAAUUAUGCUGCCCUAAGGCUUGUCAACUACUUUCAGAGAGGAAAAAAACCUAGUGGUAGGUGCUGUAUCCCAUUCUUCAAAGAAAACGUAGCUAGUAUUUGCUAAACCAACUAGGAGACCCAUUUUAACUAAAAUCGUUUUGGCUACCAAGAUAAAAUGAAUGAAAAAGCUUGGUGACUAAAAAACUUCACCUAGAACAAUAAGCAAGCGGGAAAGGCCAGAAAAGGAAAACAAAUGAUAGUGACUUUUCAAUUAUAUUCAAAUUAAAAGGAAUGAUGGCAGUUUUUCUAAAUGACCGUUUCUUUGGUGGCUCUUGGCAUGUGUGGUUCUGCAGUCCCACAGUUUCAAAUUGUUUUGCACAGAUUCAAGGUGGGUGGACAGUGAAGCGGAGCAGCGUCGGCCUUUUAGCUGAUGAUUAUUGAUGAUUGCUCUCUAUUCACCCAUGAAAUCAACAAAUACAGCAAGGAACUGCCCUCAUGGAGCUAGUCCUCUAGCUGGGGAGACCAGCAAAAACCUACUAAGUAGAAUACGCAUAAUAUGUCUGGAUAUAGGUGAGUGCUAUGGCUGCAAAGGGUUGACCUGAGAGGCCUUCAGGAAGGGAGGAAGCUGACCAACGUGUGGGAAGAGCAGGCCAAACCUAGAGACCCACGGCGGGGGUUGGGGGAGCUCAUUUCAGGAAAAUAAGCUGGAGAAAACGGUGACUCAGUGACGGCAAAUACACGGAACUCUAGUGAAAUCAUGAAAUCUCAAUGCCUUUGUGAAAAAUGGUAAUCCCAGCUACUCGGGAGGCUGAGGCAGGAGAAUUGCCUGAACCCAGGAGGCGGAGGUUGCUGUGAACCGAGAUCGCGCCAUUGCACUCCAGCCUGGUUAACAAGAUCGAAACUCCGUCUCAAAAAAAAAAAAAAAAAGGUCAUGAAGGAAAAGCCAGGUGCUAAAAUGUUUCAGAAUUGAGAGAUUCUCAAAUACUACGUGGCAGGCGCCCUUGGGAGUAUGAAGGCUUGCCAGGCUCCGGUUGGUCCUGUUCUGAGUGGGAUAAGCUUCUUUGGAGGCAUCAGUAUUGGAAGUGUCAGCCGCUUGAUUAGUUUGGCUUGAGGGAGGAUGGGGGUACAUUUCAGAGAUGAGUAGGAGCUUGUCAAGUAAGCAACUGGAGCCAAAGGGUGCUGAGCCUACAAAGGGGCCUGUGAGUGCGUGCUGCUGCUUGGGACCUGCUACUCACAGGCAGGGUGACCACCCCACUUCCCUUUGCCCCUAACUGUCCUGCUUUUAUUAUUAUUAUUUGAAACGGAGUCUUGCUCUGUCACCUAGGCUGGAGUACAGUGGCACAAUCUUGGCUCACUGCAACCUCUACCUCCCGGGGUUCAAGCAAUUGUCCUGCCUCAGCCUCCCAUGUAGCUGGGAUUAUAGGCAGACACUACGUUGCCCAGUUAAUUUUUGUAUUUUUUGUAGAGAUGGGGUUUCACCACAUUGCCCAGACUGGUCUUGAACUUCUGAUCUCAAAUGAUCCACCCACCUCGGCCUCUCAAAGUGUUGGGAUUACAGGCGUAAGCCACUGGGCAUGGCCUGGACUUUUAAAUUAGAUAUGGAAAUGUAAAAGAAACACUUAUUAAAUUAAUUAGUAUACAGUAAGCCAUAAUGAAUCCCUGAAAAAAAUGUCACUUUAGAAAUCCAUUGACAUAGAAAGAUGCUACUCACAUAUUUUUAAGUGGAAAUAAGACGCAAAUUAUUUCUAGA